rnacentral:rRNA from 1 species
GACCGAUAGUGAACCAGUACCGUGAGGGAAAGGCGAAAAGAACCCCGGCGAGGGGAGUGAAAAAGAACCUGAAACCGUGUACGUACAAGCAGUGGGAGCAUCCUUUUGGGUGUGACUGCGUACCUUUUGUAUAAUGGGUCAGCGACUUAUAUUCUGUAGCAAGGUUAACCGUAUAGGGGAGCCGAAGGGAAACCGAGUCUUAACUGGGCG